rfam:Tupaia chinensis contig119733, whole genome shotgun sequence.
GUUCUCACUAUGGCAGCACACAUACUAAAAAACUGGAACAAAACAGAGAAGACUAACAUGGCCCCUGCACAAGGAUGAUACGCAAAUUUGUGAAGCAGUCCAAAUUUGG